rnacentral:ncRNA from 1 species
UGUGCUGAUCAACACAUCGGGAGUGACUGAAUAAACUUACUGGCAUAUAGCUAGUUAAGGUGAUGAGACACAGGUGGUGCUGCACCGAAAGGUGAAUCGACUUACCAGUCGGGUCUCAGGCAGAGAUGUUUUUCUAAACUGUAGAAAUGCCCAUCUCUUGUUGGUAUACAGGAUUCCAACCUCCCCCUUU